GACGGAAGGUGCAAGCGUUGCUCGGAAUCACUGGGCGUAAAGGGUGCGUAGGCGGCUUGGUGGGUCUGGUGUGAAAGCCCCGGGCUCAGCCCGGGAAGGGCACUAGAAACUGCCGAGCUGGAGUGCCGGAGGGGAGAGUGGAAUUCCUGGUGUAGCGGUGAAAUGCGCAGAUAUCGGGAAGAACCCCCGUGGCGAAGGCGGCUCUCUGGAACGCAACUGACGCUGAGACGCGAAAUCGUGGGGAGCAAACAGG
rnacentral:rRNA from 1 species